CCUUGUGGUGAUAACUGUCCAGUUCUGCUACUGAAGGGAGAGGGAUGAGAGCCUUUAGGUUGAGGAAG
ensembl:snoRNA SNORD38A small nucleolar RNA, C/D box 38A